rnacentral:lncRNA from 1 species
AUUUACCCUACGCCACAACUACCCAAUAUCAUUCAUCUUUCCCCCCACCUUUGCCUCCCACAUAUUCACUCCCAUCAAGCUCUUUUUCCCAACCAGCCAUUAAGUCAAGCUUUGGAUCCAACUGGUGAGAAAUUAUUCCAUUCAAGGGUUCCUACAAUAGAUUGGCAAAAUGAAACUUCCAUCUGUAAGAGACGACCCACGUCAUCAACUACACGCAUCCCAAGACAAUCAUCG